rnacentral:rRNA from 1 species
AGCGAACGCUGGCGGCAGGCUUAACACAUGCAAGUCGAACGCCCCUUACGGGGUGUGGCAGACGGGUGAGUAACGCGUGGGAAUCUACCCAUCUCUACGGAAUAACGCAUGGAAACGUGUGCUAAUACCGUAUACGCCCUUACGGGGAAAGAUUUAUCGGGGAUGGAUGAGCCCGCGUUGGAUUAGCUAGUUGGUGGGGUAAAGGCCUACCAAGGCGACGAUCCAUAGCUGGUCUGAGAGGAUGAUCAGCCACAUUGGGACUGAGACACGGCCCAAACUCCUACGGGAGGCAGCAGUGGGGAAUAUUGGACAAUGGGCGCAAGCCUGAUCCAGCCAUGCCGCGUGAGUGAUGAAGGCCCUAGGGUUGUAAAGCUCUUUCACCGGAGAAGAUAAUGACGGUAUCCGGAGAAGAAGCCCCGGCUAACUUCGUGCCAGCCGCCGCUGUAAAAC